CUGUUUUAAUUUUACUAGUGAAUUACCCGCGCGAUGCUGCGGAUAUAAAAUUAUUUUUAUAAUAAAUUAUAUAUUUUUUAAUAUUUUUAUAUAGUUUUAUAAGUCUAAUUAUUAAUUAAAUAAAAAAUUAUAUAAAAAUAAUUAUGCGCAAAGUAAAUUUAUACAAUAAUUUAUUUUAUAAAAUUUAUAUGAAAAGAAUUUGAGAUAAAUCUAUCAAAAUAAUUUAAGAAAACCAAUAAAAAAAAAAAAUUGUAAAAAAAAUUAUUUAAUAAAAUUAAUUAUAUAUAUACACAUAUGCACUAUAUUUCUAAAAUUUUAGUCCUGAAAUUUAAAUUCUAUAUUUUUUUAUACAGCGAUAUUUUAUGUAAUUUAAAUUGCAUUUAUUAGGUUAGAUUUUAUUACGCGAUUUAUUACGCGUAUUAUUAGAAUUUAGAGAUUUAAAAUUAUAAAUUUUGAAAAGUUUAAAAUUUGGAAAUAAAUAUUAUAAUUUAAAAUAUAAAAUAUUAAAUUUAAAAUUUAGAACUUUAAAAUUUAAAAAUAUCAAAAUUUUAAAUUUUGUAUUAUAUAUAUAUAUGUGUGUGUGUGUGUGUGUGUGUUGUGUGUGUGUGUGUAGAAGGAGAGAGAAGAGGAGGUUUGGGGGGACACGUGUCACUCUAAGGUCCUCAAACCCUCCUUUAAUGUACAAAUAGAAAAUAGAUGUGCUAAAAAAUAAUUUAAAUUAUUCAAUUUUGAUAAAAUUAAUUUAUUCAAUUAAAAUAAUUAUUUUUUAAAAAAUAAUCGUUUUAAGAAAUUGUGAGAAA
rnacentral:lncRNA from 1 species